GCCUCGAUUACGCAUUAAAAACGUAGGCUACAUCAGGUGCUUACAGACGAAGAAAAAAGAAUUGCGAUGUUAGGGAUCACUAAAUUUCUAUCAUUUUCUGUUCGUUUCAAAUUGUAUUUUUUUUCUCCGAGGAGUAUUUGGUACAGGGAGGGGGUAUUUUUUUUAUUUCUAAUUGUAUAUUAAUUGAUCUGAGAUACUUCACAAACAAUUAAUUAAUCUCACCCUUUUUCAGUAAUGCAUUUAUGAAUGAAUCGUUGUUUGAGUGAAUACCAGUGGCAAAUAUUUCUGUCAGUGUGUGUCCAGUCGGUCGGAAAGAUUUUCAAAUUAUUUAUGUGUUCGCAAUGAUGAUGGAUGAGUCUUGAUAAGAGAUUAAUAAGGCUACGUAAAGCGUUUUUAUAACAAAUAAAUAUAUCAAGUUGAGACAAAUAUUUCUGCAAAGAACUUUAUAAAUAAGUGUUAUAAGUCUCAAUUUUAUAUAAAAAUCGUUUCUUUUUUUAAAUAUGCAUGGGAAAAUUAAAGUUCUGAAAUGCUAGUUUUGUGUCAACCUACACAAGGCAUACAUCGACUAUCGACUGCAUGUAGACAAAACAUGAUUUACACUACAUGUAAACAUUGAGUUUUAUCAAUGGGAACGUAAUUAUGUUUUGUUAAUGUGUGAGUUACACUAACACAACACCGUGUUUAGGUCUAUGUGAACACGGCCAUAUACAUGAUAUAGUUAAUGUAAGCUUUUUGUUGUACAUAAUUGUUAACCUUGAAUAUGAAUGUUUCGAUCCUUCUAGAAAGCUUCAUAGAAUAAACAUCACAACAUCGUACAUGUUGUAAGGAGUUAAGUUGUGCUUUAUUUGUAUUUUGCUUAUUAACGUUUACCCAUUAUGGUAAAAUUUUGUGCACGUAAAACGUAGUUUGUUGUUGGUAUAGUACCAUUUAUUUUGACACAGUCAGAAAGAAACAAGCGUCAAGUACAUGAAAUUUUUAUCGAAAGACUUCAAAUAAACUUUAUGAAUUUUAUUUCACUUUUCUCUUGAUUAAUACAAAAAAGUAUGAAUGAAAAUAAAGGGUAUAUUUGAUCUUUACCUCGGAUCAGAAGUGUCGGAUUUUUUAAUACAAAACUUUAAGGGAUCAGUGUUCUUUGAUAUGUAAUUACAGUUGAAAUCAGGAUAAGGUACAUUUGUGAAAUAUGCAAAUUACCUUAUUUGGAAUUAUAUUAAAUUAUCCAUGAAUGCUUAAAGAUGCAGAUCUCAUUGUAGAAAGUUAUGGGACAAAGCAUCCGUUGUUUUAUUCCUGCAUUGAUUGUUUUUGUACUGUUUGUUAUACUGAUUAUCAUGAUUAUAGAUACGUGAAUGCUAUGUUGAUCAACAAAUACAAAUCUAAGAAGUAUUUUUUGGAAAAUUAGGGGUUUUACAUUUGAUCUUAUGGUACUAACCAGAAGUUUUUUUACGAAAAAUUAAGAAAAGAUUGAAUGUACUGUGAAACCUGUUUUAAGAGAUCAGGUGAUCUUUCAAUACAGGUUCAAUUAAUAUGAAAGGUUUUACAGAGGUAUCUAAAAUUAAUGGUCUUUUAACACAAGUUUUGUUUAAUACAGGUGGCCUUUUAAGCAGGCUUGACUGUAUUUCUUAUUUUUAGGUUUUGUUUUGAAAUAAAAAUCACGAAAACAAUCAUGUGUAUUUGAUUGUUGACAGUUUACGCCUGUCUUGUGUAAAGCUUCGGGAAUGAAUGCAUAUAUUUUAGUAUGUAACCAAUAAUUUAUAUA
rnacentral:lncRNA from 1 species